rnacentral:rRNA from 1 species
GGAUCAAUUUAUUGGUCGUGCUAUUGUACGUACUGGUAUUAUUGAUUCCUACCUUCUGACGAACCAUGAUGUCAUUAAUUUGGUGUCAUGGGGAAUCAGGACUGUUACUUUGAAAAAAUUAGAGUGUUUAAAGCAGGCUCACGCUUGAAUACAUUAGCAUGGAAUAACGAAAUAGGACGUUUGAUUCUAUUUUGUUGGUUUCUAGGAUCGACGUAAUGAUUAAUAGGGAUAGUUGGGGGCAUUAGUAUUCAAUUGUCAGAGGUGAAAUUCUUGGAUUUAUUGAAGACUAACUACUGCGAAAGCAUUUGCCAAGGAUGUUUUCAUUAAUCAAGAACGAAAGUUAGGGGAUCGAAGACGAUCAGAUACCGUCGUAGUCUUAACCAUAAACUAUGCCGACUAGGGAUCGGAUGAUGUUAAUUUUUUAAUGACUCAUUCGGCACCU